UGCAAGUCGAGCGGAACGAUCCUAGCUUGCUAGGAGGCGUCGAGCGGCGGACGGGUGAGUAACACGUGAGAAUCUGCCCAUUUGUGGGGGAUAACUCGGGGAAACUCGAGCUAAUACCGCAUAAUCCCUACGGGGGAAAGCAGGGGACCUUCGGGCCUUGUGCAGAUGGAUGAGCUCGCGUCGGAUUAGCUUGUUGGUGAGGUAAAAGCUCACCAAGGCGACGAUCCGUAGCUGGUCUGAGAGGAUGAUCAGCCACACCGGGACUGAGACACGGCCCGGACUCCUACGGGAGGCAGCAGUGGGGAAUCUUGGACAAUGGGGGCAACCCUGAUCCAGCCAUGCCGCGUGUGUGAAGAAGGCCUUCGGGUUGUAAAGCACUUUCAGUAGGGAGGAAGGCUUACCGCUAAUAAUGGUGAGUACUUGACGUUACCUACAGAAGAAGCACCGGCUAAUUUCGUGCCAGCAGCCGCGGUAAUACGAAAGGUGCGAGCGUUAAUCGGAAUUACUGGGCGUAAAGCGCGCGUAGGCGGUUUGUUAAGUCAGAUGUGAAAGCCCCGGGCUCAACCUGGGAAUUGCAUUUGAAACUGGCAGGCUAGAAUGCAGUAGAGGGAGGUGGAAUUUCCGGUGUAGCGGUGAAAUGCGUAGAGAUCGGAAGGAACACCAGUGGCGAAGGCGGCCUCCUGGACUGACAUUGACGCUGAGGUGCGAAAGCGUGGGGAGCAAACAGGGUUAGAUACCCUGGUAGUCCACGCCGUAAACGAUGUCUACUAGUCGUUGGGAAUCUUAGUAUUCUUGGUGACGAAGUUAACGCGAUAAGUAGACCGCCUGGGGAGUACGGCCGCAAGGUUAAAACUCAAAUGAAUUGACGGGGGCCCGCACAAGCGGUGGAGCAUGUGUUUAUUCGAUGCACGCGAAGAUCUUACCAGGCUUGACAUCCUUGAACUUUCUAGAGAUAGAUUGUGCUUCGGGAGCCAAGUGACAGUGCUGCAUGGCUGUCGUCAGCUCGUGUCGUGAGAUGUUGGG
rnacentral:rRNA from 1 species